UCCUACGGGAGGCAGCAGUGAGGAAUAUUGGUCAAUGGGCGAGAGCCUGAACCAGCCAAGUCGCGUGAGGGAAGACGGUCCUAUGGAUUGUAAACCUCUUUUGCCGGGGAGCAAAAAGCGGUACGUGUACCGCAUCGAGAGUACCCGGAGAAAAAGCAUCGGCUAACUCCGUGCCAGCAGCCGCGGUAAUACGGAGGAUGCGAGCGUUAUCCGGAUUUAUUGGGUUUAAAGGGUGCGUAGGCGGAAUAUCAAGUCAGCGGUAAAAAUUCGGGGCUCAACCCCGUCGUGCCGUUGAAACUGAUGUU
rnacentral:rRNA from 1 species